CGCUGCACCUUCGCCUUCCUCAACCCGGAACUCUAGUCCCCGCUCACCGUGCUCCUUUGCCCUCCCCGUCCCUUCCGUGACCCUCUCUGCCCCUUCUGAAGACCCACUCCUCCUCCCAAGGAUCCGGACACCGCCCCCCACUCCCCGGAGGAGCAGAAUGGGGGAAAUUGGAACACAUACAAGUCCUGGUGAAGAUCCUUCAGAUGGCUUUCUAUCAGAU